rnacentral:tRNA from 1 species
UAGACGGAAGCCUGGUGGAUAGGGCAUCUAGCUGUUAACUAGAAGUUUGUGGGAUCGAGGCCCACUCGUUUAG